GCCCUUGGUGCACUUUAUUUUGUGUUUUCUUUCUGAAUUUCAGCUAUUGAAUUAAAUUUUUAUUAACAAUAUUUUAUUUAUAUGUUUUUUUUCAGGGCAAAUGUAAUAAACAUUCGAAAAAUAACAAGCAGCAGAAGCAAAAAUCAAACCUAAUUCACAAUAUAACUGUGAUUAUUAAUUUGAAUGGAAUGCCGACCACAACAUAUUCUUAUAGACCAAAAGUUGAGAAUGUGGAGUUUUGGAGUAAUAUAGGAGGCUACAUAGGAAUAUGGCUUGGGAUAUCUUUAAUUGCUGUGUACGAUUUUUUCGAUACAAUAAUUGGUAUCCUUUUUCAUCUUUAUCAGAAGCUUCAUGUCAGGGCUAAAAGAUUUGUAAUACGAAUUUUGAACCGUUAAAUUUUCUUGGUACAAAUAAUUGUAAACUUGAAAAUCUAUCCUGUAUAAAAAUAUGUAUUAAAUGAAUACUUGAAUAG
rnacentral:lncRNA from 1 species